rnacentral:rRNA from 1 species
GACGAACGCUGGCGGCGUGCUUAACACAUGCAAGUCGAACGGAAAGGCCCUGCUUUUGUGGGGUGCUCGAGUGGCGAACGGGUGAGUAACACGUGAGUAACCUGCCCUUGACUUUGGGAUAACUUCAGGAAACUGGGGCUAAUACCGGAUAGGAGCUCCUGCUGCAUGGUGGGGGUUGGAAAGUUUCGGCGGUUGGGGAUGGACUCGCGGCUUAUCAGCUUGUUGGUGGGGUAGUGGCUUACCAAGGCUUUGACGGGUAGCCGGCCUGGGAGGGUGACCGGCCACAUUGGGACUGAGAUACGGCCCAGACUCCUACGGGAGGCAGCAGUGGAGAAUAUUGCACAAUGGGCGGAAGCCUGAUGCAGCGACGCCGCGUGCGGGAUGACGGCCUUCGGGUUGUAAACCGCUUUCGCCUGUGACGAAGCGUGAGUGACGGUAAUGGGUAAAGAAGCACCGGCUAACUACGUG